rnacentral:snRNA from 1 species
AUCGUUUCUCGGCCUUUUGACUCAGAUCAUAGUCUCUGUUCUUAUCACUUUAAUAUCUGAUGGUCUCUUAAUCGGGGACCAUAUAUUAAAUUGAUUUUUGGAACAAGAAGAUAUACGAAGGGCUUGCUCUGUGCUCUCCACGCAUCAUCCUGGUAUUGCAUUUUGUCCAGGCUUGGUGUACCAUCC